UACGGGGGGAGCAAGCGUUGUUCGGAUUUACUGGGCGUAAAGGGCGCGUAGGCGGUCAGCACAAGUCAGUUGUGAAAUCUCCGGGCUUAACCCGGAAAGGUCAACUGAUACUGCGGGGCUAGAGUGCAGAAGGGGCAACUGGAAUUCUCGGUGUAGCGGUGAAAUGCGUAGAUAUCGAGAGGAACACCUGCGGCGAAGGCGGGUUGCUGGGCUGACACUGACGCUGACAGCGCGAAAGCUAGGGGAGCGAACGGG
rnacentral:rRNA from 1 species